UAUGGGAAAGAAUAAUUGGAACUUCACCGUUGAUCCUUGCACCAGAAAAGGUAACUGGAUCGUUCCCAGUGCACUCCAAGAUAUAGAGAGCUCUAUUACUUGCCAUUGCCACACAGAUAACACUUAGUCAAUUGUUUCCAUGCCUCUGAAGGGGCAGAACAUCACCGGCGUUUUUCCGUCGGAGUUACGAUGCCUCCAAAACCUUCAAAAGCUGUAUAUUGCUUUGAGGUUGUUGGUGGACUUAGGAAGGUAAUAGAUUUGUCUUUCUUUUCUUUAUCUUGGUUUUUAUUGGAGCAAACAGGAUGACGGUGCCUCCCAUAAAGGUCUCUCCUUCUAUUAUUUUAUUUUUUAUUUUUGGCUUUGUUCUUGAGAUAAUUUCAUGUUGUGAAGUGAAAUUAAGAUGAACAGUUCAUGAUUUAUCACUGUUGUGUUUUUUCUGUUCUUUCUUUUUCUUGAAUUAAGGUUGAUGUUUUUUCCCCUAGGUGAUGUUAUGCUGUGGGGUUGAUUUUGUUCUUGAGAAAUUUCAUGAUUAUGAAAUGUAAUUAAGAUGAAUAGUUCAUGAUCCACCAGUGCUGUGCUCUUUUGUUCUUUUUCUUAUUUAAUUUUCUUGAUUAAUGGUUGAUGUUAUCUCUUGAGUGAUGUUUAUACAGUGAGUUUGACUGGGAAGAUGGAUUGAAGGAGCAUUGCUCCAGCACGUUCAGAGCAGCGACGGAGAGGCAAGAUAAAUGACAGGCCCCACUUUUGGAUAAACAUGGGUCUAAAUUGUUGAAUAUGCUGAAUGACCAUAAUUGUUGAUAUGGUGUAGAUAUAUAAUUUGUUGCAAAUGUGAUCAUAUGAAGUUUUGACACUUUUGACAUUCAGUGUAAAUUUCUGACUUUUUAUGUACAUAU